GUUUUUCACAAGGGACUCUGUGUAAAGGCUUGGAGUCACACCUGAGUACAGUAGGUGUUACACAGAGGAAGCGUGCGCUCUUAAUAGGAGUCUAUUAGUAGGUUUCCACCCCACCAUUAAGGGAUAAAGACUCUCAAGGCCAAUGGCCCUUGUUUGGAAAGAAAAUGUUCUGCAGAGCAGGACCCCGGGGAGGAACCUUCUCUCAAAGUGUUUGCAUUCCCUUCCCCAGCGUGAACUUGGCAGGCAAAGCUGCUCAAUGUAAACACAGGUUCCCAGCUACAGCAAAUACCAGGUUAGGCAGCACGGAGGUGGCCACACAAGCCCCAGGGCCAGCCGAUGAAACAGGCUAGCUCUGUACUGACCUCACCAGCCCAUCUCAGGGCUCCCCGGUGGGGCUGGCUUUCCCUGGAGGCAGGGCCUGGACACCUGUACUGUCUGCUCUUUUUACUGGAAUGGCUAGAGAUGAGUCACCACUAUCACUCACUGCUUCCUAGCCUGGGCUCUGUGAAUCACAGACUCCCAAACAUAACACUGAGUGGAAUCAAGAUGAGGAGUCCCUGGGGGGAGCAAGUCAGCAUGGAGGGACAGCAGUGCCCCACAGUGUUAUAAAGUCGUGUGAGAUCAGAGGUCUGUGGGGCCCUGGGAGCAGGGUGGGGGAGGUAAGCAUGAGGGGAGGGAAGGAGGGAAGGCUGCAGAUCUUAACAGAAGUCAGCUCUAACUCAGUGUCCUCCAACUUCUGCCUCAACUCGGUGUUCCUUGUUCUCCAACUCCAUGACCCACUAACCUAGAAACUGACACAAAAGGAACUACAAAGGAGACAGGCUAAUCUGUGUUCUACCAUAAACUUAAAAUGUUUGUAUUAGUUAUUUUUUUCCCAUAACUGCUACAAAAUCUCUGACAAGCAACUUGAGGAAGGCAUGGUUUAUUCUGGCUUACAGUUUGAUACAUUCCCCCAUGGUGAGGAAGACAUGGAGGCAGGAGUUGGGGGCUGGCAGGUCACACACUAGGUGUGCAGUUGGGAAGCAGACAGCCAUGGAUGAUGUACACAGCUCCCUUUGUGUUCAAUCCUGGACCACCCCAGCCUCUGGAAUGGCCCCACUUAUAUUUAAUAUGGAUCUUCCCGUCUCUCAAUCUAGAUAAUUCCUCUCAGAAAUGCCCAGAAAUUUGUCUCCCAGGUAGGUAGACUGUCAUUCUUUACCAAGGCCAUCUUGAGUAGAGUAGCUGAGCCACCUGCAUGUGUUACUCCAUGAGAUUCUCCUGUGAGCAUGAGUGGUCAGUAGCUCAUGGGGAGUUGUCCCUCUAACUAGAGGAGCAGCUGUCAUAGGGAAGGUGUCUGUAGUGUGUGUGCGUCUGUGUGUCUGUGUGUAUGCAUGCACAUAUGCACAUGGAUGGGGGCAUGCACCUUUACCAGUGAGCCAUCUUACCCAUGCAAAUGUUCUUAGCAUUGGAGAAAGAUGUAGCUUUUGUAUAGUUCCAAUCUUUUAAUUUUGGUAAAAUAUAAACAGCAUGGCAUUCACUGUCUUACCACGUGGGAUAACUGUUGGAUGGUGUUAGUUACACUCACUUCCUUGUAUAGUAUCACCAACUGUCCAUCUCUAAAAGGCCUUCAUUUCCGGAACUGAACCUUUACCCAGUAAACACCUUGCCAUGUCUCCUACCUCUAGCCUCUGACAACGAACUUCUGCUCCAUGUCUCUGUAACUUUGACUACUUUAGGUGCCCAUGGGGAAUCAUACAUGGUUUCUCCCUUCUUGUCUGGCUUAUUCCACUUCACAUCGAGUUUUUGAGGUUCAUCCGUAUUGUAGCACAUGUCAGAAUGUUGCUCUUUGUUAAAACUAAAAACAUCCAUUUUCAUGGGCACACAAUGCUUUACUCUUAUUCAGCUAGCAAUGAGCGGCUGGGUUGCUUCUGUUUUUGUCAUCGUCAUCAUCAUCACCACCAUCACCAUCACCAUCAUCAUUGUGAUGCCUCUUUUAGACUGAUUUUGAUAAAAAUGCUUCAAAGCAAGAAAAUUCCACAAUAAAGACAUGGCUUUCUUCCCUUUAUCCUGUGUUUUCACAUGCCACAAGGCUUUUACAAAUAAGAUUUAAAGGUAAAAUAGAGGUUGGAAGAUGGAGAAGAGCUGGCUUGUGCUCCUGGCCCUGUCUCCUACCUAACUGUAUGCUUUGGGAGAAGACCCUUGAAUGUUUCAUGCCUGAGUCCUUAGCAUGUUGAAAAAGGAGGGCCAAGUGUGGACAGUGGUUUGUAAGAGACCAUAAUGAAAGCAAUAUCUAUAGAGUGUUCCCAACCCCCUCCCUCUUGUCUCCUCCACUAAGGAAAUUCACUAAGAAGCCCAGGUUGUUCUUGUGGUAAUCUUUCUGUCUCAGCUUCUGGGAAGCUGGCAUUAUAGUGUGAACUGCUAUGACCUGCUUCUAUGCUGACUUCUUAUCCUCUAUCAGAUGAACUCCUAUUUACGUCCUUCCCUAUUCAAAACAAUUCGAGACUCCCAGCCCUUUACGCUCCACUUCCUCUUCCAUCUUGGAAACCAUCAAAUUGCUCAUCACAACAGAAAGUCCGGCCAUACAGGAAUGUUUGCACUCUUUUGAUGUGAGGCGCGUAGACUCAUCUUCUAGUGCACAGUCUCUGAAAUAGGGUGGAGAUGGCAGCAGUGUGGCCGCCACUCCCCACUCCCAAACCCCAGGGCAGACAUCACUAAUUAAUGGCAGCACUCCUUCCUGCUGAAGCAGACUGGUCCAGAGUCAACAGCAACACCAAGCAGCCAUUCCCCACCCACUUGAUCUCUUGUACAAAAUGCUACCUCCACUCUCCUUUUCUAUGCAGAUAGGAGGCCCACCUACCCUUGAAGGCAGGAGGCAAAAGUCAGCCUCAGUCACUAGAGGAGACCAGAACUUGGUAAGGAGCCUGAGGCUAGGAUCACUACUUUUCUCUGGUCCUCCACUGCUUUUAGACUGGGGUUUAGGUGCAGAGAAGAAAGGGAGUCUCCUGCCAUGGAUGCAGUUACUAGGUGGACAUGAAGGAACCAUCUGGAACCCCAAACUGAAGACCCACCAGUUUCAUGGGUCUGCUUGUUUUGCUGCUCUGACUGUCUGUCUGCACCAGUCAUCAUGGUUCCCAUCUUGACUUGCUUAUGACUGGCCCAUUGUACAUUCAUGGAGAGGACACGGCUUAUUUCGGAGCCAUUUAUGGGAAAGACACUUUCCAAGCCAAAAUGGUGACAACAGACUUGGCCAGAGAAGUAUGUAUCCCAGAACAACAAGCUUCCCUAACUCUUUGCUGAGUCGCUCUGCCAUCAUUAAAGCUUCCAGCAAGACCUAAAGGGAACAGGUGGCACAGUUCUAACUUGCCACAGAAAGUGGACAUCAGGUACCACACAUUUCUUGAGCCUCAUCCUACCUGAGUCUGGAUGCCACAACCCAAGAGCUUCAGGUUGCCAGGAGACCUACUGCAUGGCAUCAUAUCUGCCUACCAGAAAGAAGGGGGGGGGUAUGAAUAAGCCCAUAUUGAGUACCUACUAUGUGCUUACAAUUUGUGGCCAUCCUUUCAUCCCAUCCUCAGAACACUCUUGUUAGAGAACCACCCCC
rnacentral:lncRNA from 1 species